GAAACACGGACCAAGGAGUUCAACUGGAAUGCGAGUCGUAGAGUGUUAGCAAACUCAUAACGGCGAAGCGAAAGCAAAAUUUGUGUGAAUCAGCAAUGAUGCAACACGGGCUGAUGACGUAUGAUUCGUGGAGCUUACGCUGCGCGUUCACUUGUUAAUUAUUUAACAGGACUCAUCAAGCUAAAGAGCACUUUAGUUGAGACCCGAAAGAUGGUGAACUAUGCUCGGACAUGGUGAAGCCAGGUGAAAACUUGGUGGAAGCUUGCGUUGUGCGGAACUGACGUGCAAAUCGUUACCGCCUGACCUGAGUAUAGGGGCGAAAGACUCAUCGAACCAUCUAGUAGCUGGUUCCCUCCGAAGUUUCCCUCAGGAUAGCUCGAUAAUUACCGAGUAACACAAGGGUAAAGCAAUGAGACGCGGUAUCUGUGGGUCUUAUUUAAAUGACCUCGGCCUUCUCUCAAACUUUAAAUCUGUGCGUAAACAUACUUGUUUACUUUAAAGCAGUUCUUACUGCGUGAAACUAUGUUUCAUAUCUAAAAAUUCGUAGUGGGCCAUUUCUGGUAAGCAGAACUGGCGAUGAGGGAUUCAACCUGACGUUUUCAAGAUAAGCCGGGCUUAAUCAUAUCUGCUCCAACCUUCCGAUAAACGCGA
rnacentral:rRNA from 1 species